GAUGAACGCUAGCGGCAGGCCUAAUACAUGCCAGUCGGACGGGAUUCAGGAGCUUGCUUCUGAUGAGAGUGGCGCACGGGUGCGUAACACGUAUGUAACCUACCUUUAUCAGGGGGAUAGCCUCUCGAAAGAGAGAUUAAGCCCGCAUAAAAUCACAGCACAGCAUUGUGUAAUGAUCAAAUAUUUAUAGGAUAAAGAUGGGCAUGCGGAACAUUAGCUAGAUGGCGAGGUAACGGCCCACCAUGGCGACGAUGUUUAGGGGAUCUGAGAGGAUGGCCCCCCACACUGGUACUGAGACACGGACCAGACUCCUACGGGAGGCAGCAGUAAGGAAUAUUGGUCAAUGGGCGGAAGCCUGAACCAGCCAUGCCGCGUGCAGGAAGACGGCCCUACGGGUUGUAAACUGCUUUUAUACGGGAAUAAACCCAGAUACAUGUAUCUGGCUGAAUGUACUGUAAGAAUAAGGAUCGGCUAACUCCGUG
rnacentral:rRNA from 1 species